rnacentral:lncRNA from 1 species
AGGCUAGAGGGAUCGCAAUUUUUGUAGAGUUUUGUUAGAUAAUUUUUAGAUAGGUAUCAAUUGAGUAUUUGCGAGGAUAUUGCACAAAUUGGAGUGGGGCUAUGUAGAAUAAGUAGUUAUUUUUAGAAUAUAGAUACCUAGUGUAUAGUAUAAACAGAGAUAGAUAACUACUGAAAAGGAGGUUCAAGAGGUAGAAUGAUGAAUAGUCAGGAAAAGUAGUUAUCAUUUGUAGUAUAGGAGUUGGUAUCUUGAGGUAGUAUAAGGAGGAUGGGAGAAGAGAAGAAAAGGCCAAGCUGUAAUAGUACUGAGCCGAGGGCCAAAGUGUGAGAGUUGUGAGCCGGGAUAAGCUUAGUGCUACCUCUUUUCUUUUGUUUGUUAUUUUCUUUGAAUAAGAGGAUUGAAAGUUUCUGAAUAUUAUGAAGUGAAUUAUGGAAUGGAAAUGUGAUUGGUAUUAUUUGAGAAGAAGAAAGAUUGAAUGCUGAAAUCUGAUUGU